GUUAUGCGUUGUUACCUGUCAAAACAUAAUUCAAAAUGGGAACUUUUUACGUAAGCAUUAUGAGCAUAACAUCAACUCUGCGUAAAAAUAGCAUUUCAGUCUUAGUUUUGAGAUGACUCUCUCGCAGUUCCAACUCUUUCAUUCAAGACAAACGCACACACAGAAAUCAGCUGUUUUGUGUUUUUAUAUUUAAUGGCCGCUCGAAGCCGAUGAUUAAUCAUUUUUAUUGCAUAGCCGCAACAGCAAGCAAAGAAACAAAAAAGCCGAACGGAAAAUAUUUCUAUCAAAUCCCUUGCAUCGAGAUAAAAACAUGUCUGGCAUUAUCAUAAUUUAUUGAAAAUGUGAUAACCCACAUUUCGCUGAAUGCUAGCGCCACCACGAUGAGAAGAACUAGCAAACCGGCAACAGACAAAAAGAAAACUUAUAUACUGAAUUUCCUCUGGAGAAACGGGAAAUGGAAAUGUGUCUGCUUCUUUAAAAUCAUUCAAAAUUUCACAUCAAAAACACAAACUUUUAACAACAAAUCUUCAUAAUCUGACUUCAUUGAGCAACACCAUGAGACGAUGGACACGAAAUCAAUGUUGUUUAGAUUGCUGCUUGCUUGCUUCUGUGUGUUGCAAGAAAUAAUUUUUACCGCCGGCAAUUUUAUGCGCUGAAUUAAAGAAAAGAAGGAACCAAAAAAAAAAAAAAA